GUGCCAGCCGCCGCGGUAAUACGUAGGAUGCAAGCGUUGUCCGGAAUUAUUGGGCGUAAAGCGAACGUAGGCGGUUUGUUAAGUCUGUUCUUAAAGACCGGGGCUCAACCUCGGGAAUGGAAUGGAUACUGGCAGACUGGAGGACGUCAGAGGAAAGUGGAAUUCCCAGUGUAGCGGUGAAAUGCGUAGAUAUUGGGAGGAACACCAGUGGCGAAAGCGACUUUCUGGGACGUUCCUGACGCUGAGGUUCGAAAGCUCGGGGAGCAAACAGGAUUAGAUACCCUGGUAGUCCGAGCCGUAAACGAUGGAUACUAGGUGUUGGAGGUAUCGACUCCUCCAGUGCCGAAGCUAACGCGUUAAGUAUCCCGCCUGGGGAGUACGGUCGCAAGACUGAA
rnacentral:rRNA from 1 species